rnacentral:rRNA from 1 species
GAUGAACGCUGGCGGCGUGCCUAAUACAUGCAAGUAGAACGCUGAAGGAAGGAGCUUGCUCUUUCCGGAUGAGUUGCGAACGGGUGAGUAACGCGUAGGUAACCUGCCUGGUAGCGGGGGAUAACUAUUGGAAACGAUAGCUAAUACCGCAUAACAGUAGAUGUUGCAUGAUAUCUACUUAAAAGGUGCAAUUGCACCACUACCAGAUGGACCUGCGUUGUAUUAGCUAGUUGGUGGGGUAACGGCUCACCAAGGCGACGAUACAUAGCCGACCUGAGAGGGUGAUCGGCCACACUGGGACUGAGACACGGCCCAGACUCCUACGGGAGGCAGCAGUAGGGAAUCUUCGGCAAUGGACGGAAGUCUGACCGAGCAACGCCGCGUGAGUGAAGAAGGUUGUCGGAUCGUAAAGCUCUGUUGUAAGAGAAGAACGAGUGUGAGAGUGGAAAGUUCACACUGUGACGGUAUCUUACCAGAAAGGGACGGCUAACUACGUG